CAUAGAGAGAACGAACAAGAGGAAAGAAAGUUCAUUUAAGUGGAGAAAGAUAUAAGAAGGCUGCCAUGUUUUGUUCUUUCUGUGGCCAACAUCUGGGGACAGUUCAAGUGUUCUGUGGCUCCUGUGGCAAACAUGUACAGUUUUUGGCAGAAGUUGAACACAACAAAGUUGCAAUCAUCCUCCCAGCAUGAAAGUAUUCGUCAUCUUUUGCAGCUGUUGAUAGUUUUUGGUAAAUUAUUAUCACGUUAACCAACAGUUGCCACGUUAUCAUAAAUAUAUACAGUAUAAGAUAAUUUAAUUGUCACGUAAAUCAAGCUGCAAAAUCCAUAAGCAGCUCCUAUAUUUACAGUACAGUAUUGAACAUAAGACAGAUUUGCGAACAUCAUUACCUGCAUUGUCAAACUUGAGGA